UAGUCCACGCCGUAAACGAUGGUCACUAGCUGUUCGGCGUAAGCUGAGUGGCUAAGCGAAAGUGAUAAGUGACCCACCUGGGGAGUACGUCGGCAACGAUGAAACUCAAAGGAAUUGACGGGGGCCCGCACAAGCGGUGGAGCAUGUGGUUUAAUUCGAUGAUACGCGAGGAACCUUACCAGGGCUUAAAUGUAGAUUGCAUUAGUUAGAGAUAGCUAUUUCUUCGGACCAUCUACAAGGUGCUGCAUGGUUGUCGUCAGCUCGUGCCGUGAGGUGUCAGGUUAAGUCCUAUAACGAGCGCAACCCCUGUUGUUAGUUGCCAGCGAGUCAUGUCGGGAACUCUAGCAAGACUGCCGGUGCAAACCGUGAGGAAGGUGGGGACGACGUCAAAUCAUCACGGCCCUUACGUCCUGGGCUACACACGUGCUACAAUGGUAGGGACAGAGAGCAGCCACUUCGCGAGAAGGAGCGAAUCUAUAAACCCUAUCACAGUUCGGAUCGG
rnacentral:rRNA from 1 species